AUGUUUUCUAAACAUGCCUCAAAAAUCUGGGCUAAAAUAAUCGAUUAUGUACUUAUGAUAAUCGAUUGUUUCUGAGCCAAGACUGUAUGACAAUCGAUGAUGAAUUAAUGGUAAUCGAUUGUGAGUAAGACAGUGAACAUCAAGUUUUUUCAAAUCUGCAUGAUAAUCGAUUGUGAACAAAUGACAAUCGAUUGUUGUUGAGG
rnacentral:lncRNA from 1 species